CCAGCACUAGGUACCAGUAUUUUUUGAAAGUUAAGGGAGGUAUGUUAGUUGGGUUCCCCAGGAAACCCUCUACUGAGGUAGAGUUAAGAGUGCAAAUGGUUUCGGGGGAGUAUGUGUGAAAGAAGGGGAGCAGCAGAAUUGGGCAGAGGGACCCAUAAGAUGCACACCUAAAGUCUCUGCCAGCUCGAUGGGGAGUUGCAGAGCAAGGACUGCCUAACCAAGGAGUCCCACGUUGGUGUGAAAUCACUGGGUCUUUAUAUGACCACCUGUCCCCACCUGGCUCCUCCAAGGAAGUUGAAGUGGAUUCUGAGGAAGCUAAAAUCUGGCACCCAUUAGGUAGACACACUCUUCAAGUCCUUUCUUAAAAAAGGAGCUGAGCAGUACAUGUCCUCAUUUGCCAGCAGUCCAGACAAAGCCAGAUAUUCCUACAGGAAUCAGUUAUUGUCUGGCUAGCUCAGGGAAUGGCCUGGAAUUCUGGAAAAAUGGACUACAAACCUGGGCUAUAAACUGAAGAGCAUGUUGAUUCCAAUCUCCCACCCCUCCUUUUUUGUGGGUCACAUCAUGAGUGGUGUGUCACUGGGCUAGAAGGAUUCUGCAAGGUCCUUUGGGCCUCAGUACUCAAGGACUUGGGGACAGGUGAGUUACCUCGUGUCCUUUAUGCUGUCACACCUAUGUGAAUUCAGGUCUCUGCUGUAGGCCACAGUCACGAUGGUCAUCGUCACCAUUUUCCCAUAUGCACUUUACCCAGCAUCAACCAGCAUUCUUAGAAUACCAAAUUGAACUAGAGUAGAAUACAAAAGGAAGAUUCUAGUUCACCUUGUCUUCUAGAAACUUCUUGUAUUUGGAACAAUCACAUGCUAUGCCAAAUAUAGAAUGAAUACAGUGACCUCCUGGGUUCUGUGAUCCUGGGUUCCCAAUUUCCCCUCUAUAGAAUGGGAAUUACUAUGACUGCCUCAAGCCUCACCCUGAAAGGGCUAUAGAGACUUCAAUGGUAUAAUGGAGGUGGAAGCCUUUGAGCACCUCAUUCCAAAGUUAUCAGAGCAUCUUUUGCCUAAGGCUCUUGAAACCUCUUAAAAGCACCACCACAUUUUCAUCAUACAAAAAUUGCCCAAGAGAGAUCUCCUCAUUACCAGCACUUGGUGGGAAUCUGGCAUUCAUCCUCACAAUUCCCCUAUGAUCACAGAGUCUUACCACAAAGGGCAUCUUUCUGCUAGUUUAUCUGCAGAACGGUCUGGGGCAGAAGGCAAAAGCACCAGACUAUCUCGCUUGCCUCCCCGCCUCUGCUGGGGCCCAGGCAACGUUCACCAGUGUGGUCCCCAGAACUCUGGUCUCCUUGGCAUAGUUAUUUUGUUCGCCAAGCUAACGUUUAUAAUUUUACUUCCUACUGAGGACACAUUGAGAGAAUUUUUGCCCACUGUUCAAAUUCAUGGGACUAAUAUGUUACUGGGAAGAUGUCCAAUGUCCAGGGGGAACAGGGGAAGCAGAAGACAAAGCCUGCUAAAGCGGGAAGGGACUUGCCUUCACUUCCUCAUUCACAGGUGAAGCAGACACGAUGAGCAGGUGCCCAGCCGGGCUGGACUCUGUUCACCUGAUCUAAGUAUACUGGUUCUGACUUCAAAGGUGUUGAGUGAGGUGGUAAGAACUUGGGCUUUAGAGUGAUGGGUUCUGGCUCUGCCACUUACUGUCUAAGAUUGGGCAAGUGACUUAAUCAUGAAGAACCUCAGUCUCUUCAGCUAUAAAUUAGAGAUCAUAACUCCCACCCUGCAGGAUUGCUAUGAUGAGAGAUAACAUAAGAAGAGUAACUGGAUUAUAAUAGAUACUCAAUAAGUGGUAAUUAUUAAAAUCAUUACAUUUUCUGCUAUAAAUUCAAAAAGUACUUAUUGAACAUUUACUCUAUUCACCCAUCUUUUCAAACAUCCAUUCAUUCCAAAAACAUUUCUGAGCUCAAGAUUAUGCUGAGGUCAGUGAGGGGUCCUACCGAGAAAUAGAAAGCAGGCUCCUUGAGUUCAAGAAACUCAAACUUUGACUGGAAAAUAAUAAAUUAAAAAAGAAUAGAAUUAUAAAAUGGAAGCCAUCACACCUUCUUGACUGUGCUGUGGGAGUUAAGUGGGUAAGCCUGCAAGCUUGGCCUCUGGCCCCAGGCAGACUUAAUGGGUAGCCCAACUAGAGUUGUAUCUUACAUGGGGAGAGAGGCAGAGUCAGCCAAUCUACUAUGGAUCUUGGAAGCAUGGGUUUUAGGUCCCCUCACCUAGAAGGGCUUCUUCCAAGGCUCUGUACCUAAUUUUGUUUUUUUUUGUCUAUAGAGGGGCCCCCCCCUCCGCAAAUUGCAUAAACUUCAAGACCCACAAACCCUGGAUUAUCUCUCAUGGAGGACUGAGUUUUAAAGUCAGAAGAUAAAGUAGGAACUGACAAGCUCAUGCCUCGCAGCAUGCUCUUGGAAAGCACACAGGAGAGGUGAAGAAUCAGGAUACCCUGAGAUCUGAAAGGAAGAUCAGUGUCCAAAGUGAGAGACUCUGUCUUCCUGUAUGUUGUGGCUGUUUCUGUUAAGCAGUGUCUUCAAAGGUCUAAUGAAGGAGGCCACCAUGGUGCCUGCAUGUCACAGAAAGAAUGUGGGCUCACAUCUUCACAAUGGCAGAGAUGGGUACAAAAGCAAAGACCACAUCGAUUUUGGAGCAUUUCCACCUGUGAUGUUUGACAUCCUUCAAGCACGGUCUGAGAGAGGGACCGGACCAGCAUCUUCUGAACAUUGUAUUGUGGGGGAAAGACACAGAUAUGAGGAGCUCUUCCCCCUGCAGAUACACCUGUGGCACGAGUCACCCUUCCCUCAUCCCCUAAAGCAGAGUCUUCUCUCCAUCCCGUGCACACCCUUGUUGGUUUAUAGGUCCCCACUAUUAGAUGAGUAAUAAACAGUAGGAUAUAA